CUCGAACAAACAUGAACCAAACUUGAACAAGCUGAUGUUAAAUGAACACAAACAUACUCGGCUCGGCUCGGUUCGUUUGCAGCUCUACUCCCAAUCUCUAGAUGAUGAAUCUAGAGCCCAAAACCCUAAGAGACUAACUCCAAUGCAUGCAUCCCCUAGCCUUAAGCUCCUCUCCUCUUUUAAUACAAAUCUUCUUAAUAAAAGCUAAUAAAAUAUUUCCUAAAACAAUUAUUAAUUCAAAUAGUUUCCUAUUGCCUUUUCCCUCUCUCUCCUUGCCACCCUAGGGGGACCCACAUGAGUGUGCGGCCAUCAAGGAGGCGGUUUAGCCCACCUCCUAUAGGUGUGAACCUGCCUCACCUGGGCCGGUUUGGAUGCCAGAACCGUGACAUUAUAAUGGAUAUUGAUAAUUCUUUCUUUAAUUAAGGGAGCAAUUUGUUUACUUGAGAAUUAAUUGGCAGGAAACAUAUUUAAGACGCAUCUCAACUUGCUUGGCAGCAGAUGGAAUUGUGAUUAACAUGGUAGUUGGAGGUGAAGUAGUGAUUUUGAAAGGUCUCGAGGAGAGCAGUGGACUUGUAGUAGCAGAAAUGCCCAUUAACAUAUCUGAAAUCCUAUAAGCAUUUUAACGUUUCUCUAAUUUGGGAAAGGAAUACUUGCCCGUUAAAUGGACAUUUCCAGCAAGCAGCAUGUUUCUCCGCAUUUAGGAUUUGAUUUGCCAUUCUGUCCAAAGCACGAGGUAAGGGAAAAUUGUUUAAUUUGUGGUUGGAAGAAUCUUGUAUUCUUCCAUGACUAGUUAAAUAUGUUUCUAUUCUUCUCAUCAAGAGCACAUGCUCCUACUGUUACAAUUGCAAGGUUCAAAGCUUUUACGUUUUGGCUAUUGUACCUUUCUGAUCCAAAAUAGGGGGAUCAUUGUUGGAAAGAGAUUAUUUCAUUAAUGGUUCUUGAAUUAUGAGCUUUAUUAAUAUAGAGUAGGAUGCACUAGAUUCUUCA